ACGUGUGACCCUUUACGAAAUUGGUGAAAUUGAAACGAUAUAGAAAAGAUUAGCAUCAUCGCAAGAAUAACACUUACAAAUCGAGAAAUAAUCUGUACAUAU